rnacentral:lncRNA from 1 species
GGAAAGGUUGAAGAUGGACAUAGACCCAGUCGCCUUCUGCAAGCACAAGAUCUCGACAAUGUUUAUCAGCGUAAGCCUUCAUCUUAGCCUGAGCGCGUUGCAAAUUUUACUUGAGUAGAUUGAGUGUGGCGUCGCAAUCGCGCAUAUACUCAUCGACUAAAGGGGAACCUGCAAUACCUUGAUAUAACAGGUAAUGGUAGGUGGUGUCUGUCCAUAAAGGGCCUCAAAGAGAGUUAUCUGCGCAACGGUUUGGUAGGCAGUGUUGUACCAAUAUUCUGCCCAAGGUAGCAUAGUGACCCAAGUGUGAGGAGCAUCGGUUGUAAAACACCAGAGGUACAUAUCCAAGCAUUUGUUAAGGGCCUCUAUUUGACCAUCGAUUUGGGAAUGGUAAAGGGUGCUAAUAAUGAGUUCAGUUUCCUGCAGUCGGUGGAGUUCUUACCAGAAGGUAUGCAUAAAACGAGGAUCUUUGUUUGUGACAAUAGUUGCAAGUAUGCCAGGAAGACGAAUGAUAUUCGAGACAAAUGCUAAUGUGACAGUUUCGCUAGUAAAAUUGCCAAGAAGAACGGUGAAAUGGUCGUACUUGGAGAGACGAUCAACAACAACCA